CAGAGGUCCCGAGCGUUGUUCGGAUUCACUGGGCGUAAAGGGUGCGUAGGUGGCGUGGUAAGUUUGAUGUGAAAGCUCAGGGCUUAACCCUGAAAUGGCAUUGAAUACUACCAGGCUGGAGGUUUGGAGGGGGGACUGGAAUUCUUGGUGUAGCAGUGAAAUGCGUAGAUAUCAAGAGGAACACCAGUGGCGAAGGCGAGUCCCUGGACAACACCUGACACUGAGGCACGAAAGCCGGGGGAGCAAACAGGAUUAGAUACCCUGGUAGUCCCGGCCCUAAACGGUGCACGUUUGCUGUAAGAGGAAUCGACCCCUUUUGUGGCGAAGCUAACGCGAUAAACGUGCCGCCUGGGGAUACGGUCGCAAGAUUA
rnacentral:rRNA from 1 species